rnacentral:rRNA from 1 species
UACGGAGGGUGCGAGCGUUAAUCGGAAUUACUGGGCGUAAAGCGUACGUAGGCGGCUUUGUAAGUCGAUUGUGAAAUCCCCGGGCUUAACCUGGGAAUUGCAGUCGAUACUGCAUGGCUGGAGUAUGGUAGAGGGUAGUGGAAUUCCGGGUGUAGCGGUGAAAUGCGUAGAUAUCCGGAGGAACACCAGUGGCGAAGGCGGCUACCUGGACCAAUACUGACGCUGAGGUACGAAAGCGUGGGGAGCAAACAGG